GCCAAGGUAACUCAGUUAGCAGAGUGCUUCCCUGAAGAGGAAGAAGUCGCCAGUGCAACUCUGGCCCUUGGCACCA
rnacentral:tRNA from 3 species